CAACUGGGCAGAGGGAUCCUCCUCCUGGCAUCACCGAGAUGAAGCCUGAACACUUUCAAACAGAAGACAGAGGGAGCAGGAAACAGAAUGGCAAGAAAGACAUAAAAUACUACUAAGGAGAAAAGCUACGAGAUUUGUCCAGAAUAAAAUCAAACUCAACAACAAACCCAACAAAACCCAACCCUUUGCACCCAGAGAAGAAAGGAGCAAAUAAAAUCCCAUCAAAGCC